GUUCUCCUCUUUAUACUCUUGCUACACUUGCAAGUCUUUUGUAGAAAAGCAAUGGCUCUCACUUCCUACGGAACUGAUAGACUGCAUAAUUGACAGCAUCGCACAUUGCUGUAUGCAUUGUAUUAUUUCAAUGAAAGAUCAUAUUGCAUGUUGCAGCGAAAUGGCCCACGGUGAAUCAGCUGCCGGAGGUUUGACUUAUCGACGAAAAGGCGAGGGAGGAAAACGGCGACGACGGAAAAAUUCUAGACCCUCAAAAAAUCACUGUCCUGGUUUGGCUGUAUCAUUUGGAAACUUAGUUAACCAAUUUCGUUUUGAAACACUGUAUGAAACUGCGUAUCGAACUGCAAUUUAUUGUAUUAGUUAAAGAGAAUAAGCUAUUUUUGUUGGUUUCAGAAAGGUGAAGCUACUUGUUUAUGUUUAAUAAGCCACUGCUAUUUCUCACUGAUAUUUUCUCUUAUUGCCUUAUUUCGGACAGAUAAGUCCGAAAUAAGGCUCUUAUGCCUUAUUUCGGACUUACUUCGGAAACUUUCUAGCUCCAAAGUCCCCCACAUUUUCUUCUAAUUUAUUUCUAUGAGGUUGUAGAUUUCCUCACGUUCAUUCUACUAAAUGAACGUUGAGGAACCUACUGAACUCUUAGCAAAUCACCGCUGAGUUUAAAUAAUUAAAUAUGUAGACUGAAGAAGGGUUAACUAGACUCAAAGGCCCCUUUCUCGAGCUUACAACAAAGCCUCCACUCGGGCCUAAACUCAGAAAUAAGAACUAAAUUAUAACUAACUAAGAAAGACUUAGCCGAAGCUAACAGAUGUGUCUAACGUAGUUGUCGCUCAAUUAAAACUAAACGAGAAAUAUCAAAAGGCAUGUAAUAUACGGCCGAGCGUAACAGCUUUAAGAGGGAUUUAGUCCGAAGGCAUUCCUAGUUCUCUCUCAGUUUAACCUACCUUAAAUACUACUUUUUGCAUUCAACGCGAUUCUGAAAACUCAGUCUGGUAGGGAGUUGUAGUGUAAAAAAAAUUGAUAGGAAAGCACUUUAAAAUAAAAAAAAUAAAAAAAAAAAAACUGUUAUAAAAUUAAAAUAAACCUUACAAGGUCAGUUGACCCAUGCUUAUGAAAGCAAUCCACACUCUAUUCGCAAACUUAAAGCCAAAACUGGAAA